rnacentral:rRNA from 1 species
UACGUAGGGUGCAAGCGUUAAUCGGAAUUACUGGGCGUAAAGCGUGCGCAGGCGGCUAUGCAAGACAGAUGUGAAAUCCCCGGGCCCAACCUGGGAACUGCAUUUGUGACUGCAUAGCUAGAGUACGGUAGAGGGGGAUGGAAUUCCGCGUGUAGCAGUGAAAUGCGUAGAUAUGUGGAGGAACACCGAUGGCGAAGGCAGCCGCCUGGGCUAAGAUUGACGCUCAUGCACGAAAGCGUGGGGAGCAAACAGG